rnacentral:misc_RNA from 1 species
AACACAAAUUGUACUUUCCAGUAUUCUGGGAAGUAUGCUUGGUUGAGGGUCAUUAAAAUAACAUUCGCGAAUUUUUUUGCGGAUUUGAGUUUUCCAGUAUUUUAUUAAAAAUGUUGGUAACUUUAAAAUUAUUAUUACUUGGUACAAGUUGAAGACGUUCUAUAUGUGUGGUUCGCUGACAACUUGACCAUCAUCAUAUAUUAUGCGCGCACUUGGUUUUUACGCUCUGUGCGAGUAUAUAUUUUUUUAUGACCUCAGCUCAAGUAAGAAUACCCGCUGAACUUAA